AAAUUGAAGAGUUUGAUCAUGGCUCAGAUUGAACGCUGGCGGCAGGCCUAACACAUGCAAGUCGAGCGGUAGCACAGAGAGCUUGCUCUCGGGUGACGAGCGGCGG
rnacentral:rRNA from 1 species